CCUUGCAUUACUUCUCUUCAGCAAUAUAAGUUUACAUAUAAAACAUGGUACCACUUCAUGAGACCAAACAAAAAAUAAGCAGUUUGUGCUAACAAAUCAGCCAACACACUCCUCUAUAAUAGUGGUAUGAAAGAAAGAUUUUUUUGGAGGACCAUGAAUUGCAUCCACCACUGAUUUUGCAUCCAGCUCAAAUAUGCAGCGAUUUGUUCUCCAUUUUU
rnacentral:lncRNA from 1 species